rnacentral:lncRNA from 1 species
UAUUCGAGACCGAAUUCGUUUAGAGGGGUUCAGAUCUGUCCGUAUUCGAGUCCGAAUAUUCAACAUCCGAUACCGUAUCCGUAUCCGAAUACUUAAAUCGUAUAUUUGUGAUGUCGACAUCCAAUCAUAUCUUAUCCGACAUGGUUGACAUUAUCCGUAUUCGAAUCCGAAUCCGACCAAAAACAUGAAAACAAAUAUGAUAUCAGUGAUAUCCGUCCGUAUCCGAUCCGUUUUCAUCCCUA